UACGUAGGGUGCAAGCGUUGUCCGGAAUUAUUGGGCGUAAAGAGCUCGUAGGCGGUCUGUCGCGUCGGCUGAUGAAAACCCGGAGCUCAACUCCGGAUCUGCGGUUGGGUACGGGCAGACUAGAGUGGAUGUAGGGGAGACGUAGGAAUUCCUGGAUGUAGCGGUGAAAUGCGCAGAUAUCAGGAAGAACACCCGUGGCUAAGGCGGCUCUCUAGUACGGUACUGACGCUGAGACGCGAAAGCGUGGGGAGCGAACAGG
rnacentral:rRNA from 1 species